rnacentral:rRNA from 1 species
GACGAACGCUGGCGGCGUGCCUAAUACAUGCAAGUAGAACGCUGAAGAGAGGAGCUUGCUCUUCUUGGGUGAGUUGCGGACGGGUGAGUAACGCGUAGGUAACCUGCCUUGUAGCGGGGGAUAACUAUUGGAAACGAUAGCUAAUACCGCAUAACAUUGUAAGACACAUGUCUUUUAUUUGAAAGAGGCAAUUGCUCCACUACAAGAAUGACCUCCGUUGUAUUAGCUAGUAGGUGAGGUAAUGGCUCUCCUAGGCGACGAUUCAGAGCCGACCUGAAAGGGUGGACGGCCACACUGGGACUGAGACACGGCCCAGAAUCCUACCGGAGGCAGCAGUAGGGAAUCUUCGGCAAUGGGGGCAAACCUGACCGAGCAAAGCCGGGUGGGUGAAGAAGGUUCUCGGAUCGUAAAGCUCUGUUGUAAGGCAAGAAAGAGUGUGAGAGUGGAAAGUGCACACUGUGACGGUAGCUAACCAGAAAGGGACGGCUAACUACGUG